AUGGACCGAGGUGAGCCCUCAUUGAAACCAGAAUGGCUGGUGCGCGGGGUUGCCGCACCGACAGUAGCUGCCACAGGCUUCCGGCCAGGAACAUCGCCCCGUGCAGAUGAUCAAGACAGGGGUGCUUCAUCAAGAAACCGAUCUUCAGGCCGUGAUCGUGAACGGAGCUCCCAACAGUCCUCUUCCCGCAGGGGUUCUGGCCCAAGUGUGUCCAGACGGCAUGACCGGGAUGGCACAGUGAAGUCAAGAGGGUAUGCUAGUUUUGGAAGGAGCAACAGGGACAGGGGUUGUGACAAGGAUUCUGAUUUCCGUGAUUGGGAGAGUAGAUUGGGUCUUGCAGGUGACCCACUGCGUGAUGGCUUUGGGCCCUUUAACUCAUGCAGACCCGAAAGCGAUAGGUUUAAUCGUAUUCGUCCAAAGUUGGACACAUUGAAUCGAGCAUCUGGAGUAAGUUUGGACAAUGGUAAUCUAUCUAGAAAGGAUGCUGGCGGCAUGUCCUUUGAGCGAGAAUUCCCACACCUUAGUUCUGAGGACAACAAUGGAAAACAUGAUGUAGUUAGAGUUCCAUCUCCUGGAAUUGGCUCCCCAAUUCAGAGCAUACCAUUGGUUACCGCGCCUGAUGGCUGGAACUCAGUGCUAGCAGAAGUCCCUGGACUUAGUGAGCCAAGCAAUACCCAGACCUCUUCUGCUUCAUCACGUGCUGGUUCCAGUCAGCAGCUUGUAGUGUCGAACUGUGGGACUGCCUUAAGCAUGGCUGAAACAGUAAUGCAGACUCCAUUAAAAAUUUCCACCACACCUCAGCUAUCGAUUGACGCUCAGAAGAUUGAAGAAAGAACUAUGAGGCAGUGUAUUCUAAGACCUCUGACGCCUUCAUCAAACAAAAAUUCUGUAUGCACUCUGUACAUUGCCUUCUCUGUAUCUACUUUGUCAGAUAGGUUAAAAACGAAAGGUGCAAGAGCUGGGGAUUCUAAUGGUUCUAUCAAAACUGCACCCCAACUGUCAGCACAGUCUUCCAAUACCUCUGUUCGUACUCCAGUCAAAUCUGAGGUUGCCAAGCCAUCUCAACCAGGAUCCUUUCAAGUCCUGACCCGUGAGCAGAAUGGUGCUGCAAAUACCUCAAAAGACUCCACUAGCAAUCCUUUAAGCCCUAUUCUAGGUCGAUCUUCUUCAGUGGAACCACUGAAAAAGCCCCUUGUCAACCAAAAGCUUAAAGGUGUCAUAAAUGGCCUCCCUUUGCAAUUACAACAAGGUCCAUCUGGUGAGAGAAAAUCAAUAACAAAAGCCAAGCAUAAAUUCUUUGAGUUUCUGCGGAGCAAGUCUUUAAAUGGUUCAAGCACGGGUAUUGAGUCCUCAUCUAGCUUGAUUAAUGAACAGAAGAACCCGUGUCUUGAUUUAUCCUUGUUUGAUGCUGGAAUCAAGUGUAUUGAGACUGGAAGUAGUUCUUGUGAGGAUGCAAAUUCUUGUGAUGGGUCUCAGCGACACCUCUCUGACAAUGAGGAAACAAAGGCAUCUUUGGAACCUCUUGAUGUUUUUUAUCGUGGGUCCCAUGGGGUUGCAGCUGUCAAGAAUACCAACUCUUUAUCAGAUCAUGGUGAUGCCGAAAAUGGAUCUAUGGCGCCUCAGGCAGACAAGGCUGAAGCUACUCUGGCCAUUAUGGCAGCAGAUAUAAAUGAUGGUUCCGCAAAGGCAGACUCCAGCUAUGGUGAUGCCAGUUUGUUGUUUGUGCCCAUUGUAGCUGGGGAAGAGGAAUCAUAUCCUACUGAAGAUGAACCUAGUCCAGAAGAAAUGGCUUUCCUGAAAUCUCUUGGCUGGAAAGAAGACGAAGUAGUUCCGCCUCUGAAACAGGAAGAGAUAGCUGAUUGUUUAAGGCACAACGUGAGGCUGCAGCAGAAGCUUGAGGAAUGCAGGGGCUAA
rnacentral:rRNA from 1 species